rnacentral:rRNA from 1 species
AUUGAACGCUGGCGGCAGGCCUAACACAUGCAAGUCGAGCGGAGCGGCGGACGGGUGAGUAAUGCCUAGGAAUCUGCCUGGUAGUGGGGGAUAACGUCCGGAAACGGGCGCUAAUACCGCAUACUAUCAGAUGAGCCUAGGUCAGAUUAGCUAGUUGGUGGGGUAAAGGCCUACCAAGGCGACGAUCCGUAACUGUUCUGAGAGGAUGAUCAGUCACGAUGGAAAUGAGACACGGCCGAGACUCCUACGGGAGGCAUCAGCGGGAAAUAUUUGACAAUGGGCGAAAUCCUGAUCAAGCCAGGCCGAGUGUGUGAAGAAGGUCUUCGGAUUGGAAAGCUCUGUAAGUUGGGAGGCGUUACCAACAGAAUAAGCACCGGCUAACUUCGUGCCAGCCGCCGCGGUAAAAC